GUAACUGUCUUUGCAUCACGGACGGCGAGUAGGAGACAUGCAAACCACCACUUUUUCAGCGUAAUUCUUAAUUUUCAAAUUUAAACCAACCUUAACUCGACAUUGUAUUUAUCUCUGAGACAAUCUCAAUUUUUCUGUUAUCUAUGAAUCCUACAAGGUUAGUGGUGGUAUCACGUUAUUGAUUUUAUUAUUUAGAAAAAUAAGUCGAUUACAGAAUAAACGAUGAUACGAGUCAGUGGACAGGGGCAACAACCAGUUUUCAAUGAAGAAAAAAGGAAGAGUCGGGAAAUAGUUGUUGCUAAUGUGACGUCUUUUAUUGUGCUCGUUGGCAUAAUCAGGCUUGUUCCGUACGCGCUGAAGCAGUUCCAGUAGCCGCACUGCGCGCGCCUGCAGUUCGGAGAGAAGUCCCUGUUCAGCAUGCUGUCGUAUCGUAACUUAACCAUGUGACCACAAUGUGGUUCAUUUUGUGAAUUUUUUUUAUUAAAAAUAAUUUACUAAAAUAUCUGA